rnacentral:rRNA from 1 species
AACGAACGCUGGCGGCGUGGAUAAGACAUGCAAGUCGAACGAUUAAACUUUCCUUCGGGAAAGAAAUAAAGUGGCGCACGGGUGAGUAACACGUAAGUAAUCUACCUUCGAGUGGGGAAUAACGUUCGGAAACGAACGCUAAUACCGCAUAAUGCAGCGGCACCUAAUGGUGACAGUUGUUAAAGGAGCAAUUCGCUUGAAGAGGAGCUUGCGGCAGAUUAGCUAGUUGGUAAGGUAACGGCUACCAAGGCUACGAUCUGUAACCGGUCUAAGAGGACGGUCGGUCACACUGACACUGAAUAACGGGUCAGACUCCUACGGGAGGCAGCAGUCGGGAAUUUUGGGCAAUGGGCGAAAGCCUGACCCAGCAACGCCGCGUGAAGGAUGAAGUAUUUCGGUAUGUAAACUUCGAAAGAAUGGGAAGAAUCAAUGACGGUACCAUUUAUAAGGUCCGGCUAACUACGUGCCAGCC